GGUGGGGUACGAAAGUGGCUAUAAUCGGCCUGUCUUGAAAACAGGUGUAUCGAAAGGUACCGUGGGUUCGAAUCCCACCCCCACCG
rnacentral:tRNA from 1 species